AUGUUAGUUGGACUGGUUAAACAAACUACUUUGUCCUCUCAAACAGAUAGCCCCAUUUGGAGCUUGGAGUUGAAUGGUCAAUAUUCUUUUAAAUCCUUUUAUAAGAUGAUUAACUUUGGUGGGAUUUCUUCUGAUAUUAAAGGUUUCAUUUGGAAGAUUAAAGUUCCUCCAAAUAUCCACUUCCUAUGGCUGAUGAACAAAAGCUUGACUAGAGAUAAUCUUGCCAAAAGAAGACAUGUAGAAGAUAGAAUGUGUGUUUUCUGUGCUGAACCAGAAUCAAUUCAACACUUGCUGUUUGACUGCAUUAUUGCGACUGAAAUCUGGGCUGUGAUUGUUGAAGCUUUUAAGAUAACCCCUCCUGCUUCUUUUGAAUCUUUAUCUUAUUUUUGGAAGAAGAGAAAACAAUGUGAAGCUAUUAAUAUUGCCACAUCUGCUACCUUAUGGUGCUUAUGGCGUUUGCGCAAUGAUUUUGUCUUUCAGGGGAGAAGCUGGCGAGGUAUGCGCCGUGUGUUGGAUCAGGUGAGUUUUGGGUUCUACGGUAGGGUGCGUCGACUGCAAAUUAAAAUUUUCCUACGCGCAGAACAUCCAGGAACAUGCUACGGGAGAUGGAUCACAGUUCGUUACCACUAG
rnacentral:rRNA from 1 species